rnacentral:lncRNA from 1 species
GAAGGAUUGGUUGUGAAAAGAUAAACAAUACCCCUCCUGGUUUCAAUGGAUGACCCAUUAGCAGAAUAUCUCCCACUUAGCUAAAGAUCACUGCCCCCACCCUCAAGAGAUGGUGAUAGAAUAGAUACCUUUUAUCACACUCUGUGUUGUAACCCAAGACAGUUGCCGACACGUGGACGUGCAGUUUAUAAUCAGAAAGAGUACUGUCGCCAAAGAUGAGAAGAAGAAAAACGUCCAGCAGAUAAUCCAAAAGAGGAGUUGCUUUCAGCUAAAGGAUGUACAGAAGAGGAAAAGCCUAUAAAAAGAAAUGUUCCUUACCAUAUUCCCUCACAUAUGAAGAUUCAUCCCGGGUUUUGAAGUAAUUGCUACAAGUUAUCUAUGUUUCAACAGCUUUAUUAAGGAGAAAGUCGGUUUGCCUGCUUGGAAAUUCAAGAUCAGUGUUCACAAGGAAAUAUCUAUAUUAAACUCCCACUUACUAAUUUGCCUUUAAAUGUCAGACUAAAAAAAAAGAGACAUCUGCUUUUUUAUGAUUCUCUCUCCUUUAAGUAAUUCUGCUCAUGAACUGCCACAUUAAAUAAAGCUACUUAAAGUCCUUGUAAGAGUGGGGAUGGUUUAGGAUGUCACCACAUUGAUGCAUAUGUGCCAUGUCUUCAGAAUUAAGAAGUACAGAAGGUAAACAUUGACCUUCAAUAUGUUCACUUUAGUUUUUGCCUUUUCCUGCAUUCCUACUGCUGCAAGCAGUAGCAAAGGCUAAAGGAAAUGGCCUCUGACUAAGCAUUAGCUACCAGCGUGCCCUCAUUAUAGCUGAGGGCUCUUAUUCUCGCCUAGCCUACGUGCAGAGCCAGCUACUCUUUCAGCUGUGAUGACGAAAUGCCAUGCAUUUCUUCCUGGAAUAGUGCGCAGAUAAGAGGCCACUUGUUAUGCUGAGGUUUCAGAUGAACUCCACUAAGGGUUUCAAAACACUCUGUCACAAUUAUAUCAGGUUUCUUUAGCAACCAAUUCAUUUC